GACAACUAUCAAGAUUUCAUGGUGCAGCAUUCUGAGCCUUCAUUAUGAUAAGCGGCAUAAUUUAUUUUCUGAACAAAGAUGAGAAAAUUUAAAAUGAUGCAUGAAAAGCUCUCUCUCUCUCUCUCUGAACGUUGGAGCCAGCACCUUGGUUAUGAAAGUAAAGGGGAUGCAGUUUUUUUUCUCCUUGGGUAUCAGCGUAAUUUGCAAGGGAGGGUUUCAACUUGUCAGAAUUACUGGGCAGUCCUUGUAUAUAUUUGGGUGAGAGGCUGACAUUCAUCUUUCGGUUGAUCAAUUGGUUGGAGUGUUCAACAUUUUUUUAGGAGUGACAUUGCCAAUUUCAUUUGCAGCAGCUCUACAACAAUGGAAUCAUGUCUGAGAACUGUUGUGUGAAUACAUGAAGCAUGGGAUUUUUUGAAGCUUGUGAAGCCAGCACUCUGAAGAUUUGGGUAACCCUUUCUGUAUGUCUAUUUGUUUCUUAUUGUCUAGCUCUGUUUGGUAGCCCAGAAAAUGUAACAGAAGAAGGAAACUCGAAACUGUUGAAGUGUAUAUUUCAGUAAUGAAGCAGUAGAAAAUGAGAAGCUUUUCUUUAUUGAGCCCACUUCAAACAAAGAGGUUAAUUAUUAUUCUGUAAUUUUAAAUUCUUAAAUUAUGCAAAGAAAAAAGAAGUAUUUACCAGUUGAUGAAUGCU